GCCCGAAGAGCCCCAGGGGUCCCCCCGGAUCAAACACGUCUGCAGGAGAGCACCCCCCCCCGAGCCGGGGACCCCCCCCGAAGACUCCGACGCUGAGGGCGGAGCCCGGCCCAAGCGGCCCCGCCCAGGCCCCGCCCCCUCCCCAG